CACCUCGUGAUCGGAGGCGUCCGCGUCGGGGUCG
rnacentral:sRNA from 1 species